GUUUAUUAGGGAGCGCCCCCAUGGGCAACACCUGUAGGUUGUGAAGGCACUAUGAUUGGGCAGAAGGAGGAGUUGGACUACGAGGCAUUUGCAACAAAAGCCUCAGUUGACCCCACUGGGAACUCUGGAGCAGGACAAAUCUUCGCAACUCCGUCUCUUGAGGUUUUUGGCUGCUUGCCUUCAAACUGCAAACUGGAAUACUUCAUCCUUUAAAAGCUUAAUAACCCGAAAACCCACCAGGAACCUAGAAUACCCGUAGUUCUCAGCCUAAAAGCUUGAGGAUGGAUAGAACAGAAAUCUAAUGUGCUUGACCUUCUCACCUCCUGCUUCUGGUCCGUGCCUCCCAUUACACCCACUCAAAGCCUCAGUGAGGCCCAAACCAUGGAAGACUUCUGCUGACAGAUGUCUCCAGAAUAGCUACUGUUCAUCUCACAGGCAAUUGAGCCCUCUAGGUCAGAGGUCCUCAAAGUGUGACUACAGUCCCCAUAAUGAGACUACCAGCAUCAGUAUCACCACCACCUGGGAACUUAUUAGAACUGAAAUUCUUGGGUCCCACUCCAGACCUCCUUAAUCAGAAACUCGGGGGGUAGAAUCCAGCAAUCUGUGUUUGAACAAGCCCUCCAGGUGAUCUGGAUGCUUGCUAAAGUUUGAGAACCACUGGUCUGGGUAAUUGAACCAACGGCAUUUGGCUGUAAUCCAUGGAGAAAUUUAUAGCACUAGGGCAAUCACUAACCUCAGUCUUGGGAAUUACGGGAGUUGGUAAACUCAUUUCAAAGGAACAAUAUUCACCUUUGAAGGUACUUGGAUGGCUGGCUGUGUGCAUUUGGAAAUAUACAGUGUUCUCCUCCCAUGGGGCUCAAGGAAGCUAAAGAAAAUCAGAGGAUUCUAAAUGCCAUUGUCCUCAUCCUAUCGCCUCCCUGCUUGCUCAGCUCCAACCCCACCUGUCUUUCUCACGUUGAACUAGCUUUAAGGAGAAGAGACACAAUUGCCAGCAGGUGAAAGGCUGUUUGCAUUAGCCUUUUGGGAAUUGAAUGAAAGAGUUUUUCAUUUUUAGGAAGCCACAUGUUCUCUAUCGUUAAAUCAAAGGUGAAAUGCAGCGUGCCAUGGCAGUAAUCCAAAGUUUGGAGGCCACAUGGACUUUCUGAUUUAAACUCAUUUUCUAUGAAGUCAAAACUCAUCCUUCGCUUUUGAAAGCACCGAAAGCCGUUAGCUGAGACAGCAGUGAACAGACAUCAGAAGGAGGCCCCUGGUGGCUGAAAUGAGGCUUCACCCUCUCAGCUUUUUAAUGGCAUGCGAAAGGCAUUAAUCCACACUUUCAUUUCCUAUUAACCAAAUAGAAAUGUCUUGAGAUAAUGUGAAUACCUUAUGGCAUAAGUGACUUUCUAAAGUAUCUUAUUAGAACUCCUUAUCUGUGUAAAUUAGGCAGCGUUGGGGCUU
rnacentral:lncRNA from 1 species